GAUGAACGCUGGCGGCGUGCCUAAUACAUGCAAGUCGAGCGAACGGACGAGAAGCUUGCUUCUCUGAUGUUAGCGGCGGACGGGUGAGUAACACGUGGAUAACCUACCUAUAAGACUGGGAUAACUUCGGGAAACCGGAUCUAAUACAGGAUAAUAUUGUGAACCGCAUGGUCCAAAAGUGAAAGACGGUCUUGCUGUCACUUAUAGAUGGAUCCGCGCUGCAUUAGCUAGUUGGUAAGGUAACGGCUUACCAAGGCAACGAUGCGUAGCCGACCUGAGAGGGUGAUCGGCCACACUGGAACUGAGACACGGUCCAGACUCCUACGGGAGGCAGCAGUAGGGAAUCUUCCACAAUGGGCGAAAGCCUGACGGAGCCACGCCGCGUGAGUGAUGAAGGUCUUCGGAUCGUAAAGCUCUUUUAUUAGGGAAGAACAUAUGUGUAAGUAUCUCUUCACGUCUUGACGUUACCUAAUCAAAAAGCCACGGCUAACUACGUG
rnacentral:rRNA from 1 species